AUCCACAGUAUCUGUAGCAGAAGAAAAACGACCUGUAAAACUGUAUUUGAAGACCAUGCGAGAAAUAGAAUAAAAAUUGAGAAGUGAAUGUAAAUAAGAAACAUGUUUUGUGUGUGAGGUCCCAGAACCGGAAGUGCCUUGGCGGUGUCUGUUAACAUCAUGUAAUGUCUGUUGGAUGGGCUCAGGAUCAGAUGUCAAAGAACCCUGUCUCUGGUUUUGGUGGUGGUGGUGCUGUCCACGGAACGGCCCAGGCUGCUUCCCUUUCAGCUUUGAAAGACCAGCCCAGGCCUCUGCUCCCUGUGCUAUUUUGAAGCAGGAUCUUGCCUCUGUUCAAGGGCUCCUGCGCCACAGUCCUGGGUGCCAGUGUCUGGGAAAACUGGUGCCCUGGAGCCAGGAUGGUGACCAUGAGAAGGACAAUAGCUGGACAGCUGCUAGUAAGGGCCACUCUUCCACUCUGCCGUUUCCAUAGCCAGCAGUGUGGUCAGAAAAUACUUUGGCCGAAGGCCCAGGAUGGGCUAUUAAAGGAUGUGGUGAUGUCUUUCAUCUCCUGGGUGGCUUUUGGGCUGUUCACCCUCUUCACAAAGUAAAACACUCCCUCUCACAAAUACAGACCCUCUCUCCUUCCACCAAUCCCUCUCCUGCCAACCCCCCCCUCCCCCG
rnacentral:lncRNA from 1 species